CCUGGCGUCCAUGGAGGAGGGGGCACACCUGAUCCCAUUCCGAACUCGGAAGUUAAGCCCUCCAUCGCCGAUGAUACUGCGGGGUAGCUCGUGGGAAAGUAGGCCGACGCCAGGA
rnacentral:rRNA from 14 species